ACACCUAUAUAUAUGGACCUGUGUCAUUUUACGUCAAAAUUGGUCAAGGAUUUAACUUUUUAAAGAAUAAACAAAAUUUUUUCGUAACCUCUCUAACUUAAAGAAAGCUACCUUAAUGGAGCGAGAUAGAUAUUUUUUUAGUCAUUGCUUAAAGAGUGACCAAAAAUGGCUAUUGUUGUGGUUCCGGUGUAACGUUAUUCAAAUUAUUACGGAAAUAAUAACCAAUAAGCUUGUGAAUCGCAAAAUAAAUUAAAUUUAUACAAUGGUGAAGUGUGCAGUUGUUGCCUGCACCAACAAAACCCAAACAAAACUAGCGGGAAUUUCAUUUCACAAAAUUUAUCACCUGAGCAACAAGUAAGACAACCCUUGCAAGAAGUGAAUCUUAAUCUGUUAUCAGAGAGUCAUGACAAUGCUGUUUCCCAAAAUGGAAUACAAGUAUUGUAUUGUAUUGUCAAAAACAUACUUAAAAACUAAAAUUUUCUUGUAAUAACGUCUCAAAAAAAUAUGAAAAAAAAAAAUUGUCUGGUAGAACGAUAAUCAAAUUUUAAAAGACCAUUUAUAAAAAAGUGUCAACUAGCUAUUACUUUUUGUUAUGUAUAACGUCCUUGUAUCAAAAAUUGUAAGUUUUGCAACUUCUAUACGGUUCGUAUCGUACUGACAAGAGAACGUAUUUGUUUUUGAAUUUCAUAUUCGUACCGGGUACGACACCGUCAUGUUCCGUACGCUCCAUCUGUAUAUUAUUGAUUAAUCUGUGUUAGAUACAAAACAAUUUAAUGAGAAAAUCAAUUGUAUGGAAUUUUAUAUUAUAAUAAUGUAAGACAGAAUUUAAAAUGUUUCAUUUUAGUAAACAUAAUAUUUUGUAUAAUUUAUUAAUUUUAUAUCGAGUGCUUAAUUAUUAUCGAUAAAACAGCCCUAGCUCAAUUUAGAGACCAAACAUGGUUACCGGAAGCCUC